CACGUAGGGGGCAAGCGUUGUCCGGAUUUAUUGGGCGUAAAGAGCUCGUAGGUGGCUGAGUAAGUCGGAUGUUAAAUCCCCAGGCUCAACCUGGGACACCACCCGAUACUGCUCUGGCUAGAGUCCGGUAGGGGAGCGUGGAAUUCCUGGUGUAGCGGUGAAAUGCGCAGAUAUCAGGAGGAACACCAGCGGCGAAGGCGGCUUUCUGGACAGAAACUGACGCUGAGGCGCGAAAGCUAGGGGAGCAAACAGG
rnacentral:rRNA from 1 species